UUUACUUGAGUACAAUAUUUUCAUACUUUUUCCACCUCUGUCAGUUUCUCGACGAGGGUGGGGCUACGCUUGCUGUACCAGCGGAAUGGGUGUUUGAAAAGGAUGGGAUAAGAUACUAUUUUAUAGUUUCAGACUCUCUGGUUGGUGACUUGUGCCAAAGAUAUUUCAAAUCAUAAGAUACAGCACUCAGGUCAUUAUGAAUGGAGACUGGUAACAAGCUCCAUUCAUUUCCAAUGGGGCUGGGGAGCUAGGCAGCUCAUAGGCAUUACCAAUAUGGCUGCCAGUGCCAUGUCUCGCAUAAAAUGUCUUUGUGCUCAAUUCCAGUGAUGGAUACUCAUGAUUUUCUCAAUUUUCUAUUGACAGAGCGAAUGGUGCUAUUGGCCGCCGUAAGAUCGGGACACCAAGGAUUUGAUUAAGAACUGUUCUUCUCACUCCACCAACUGGGUGCCAUAUUACAUAGCGUUCGGAAGUUUAAAUGCAGUGCUGAAAACUAUGGCACUGCCAAGGGGGCUGGAAGAUGCGUUUCCACGGUGGACUCCGAGGACCCUGAGACUGGGCCUCCAAGAAAAUGCCCAACACAGAGGCCGCCGAGAUACAGACAAUCUGAUGAUAAAGGUACAAGGCUGUGCUUGCCUAAUGACCCCAACGUCGAGGGCCCCAGUGACGAGCGCUACUCCAGCCAGGCCAGGUUUCCAGACCCCAAGAAGACCCCAGGAACUGGCAGCCCAGCCCAGUCCUCACCUUUUUUUUUUUUUUUUUUUAAAAAUCGGUGAUGGGUUUGCGACCCUGUAUCUGCUACUUUUUAUUUUGGUUGUAAAAUCAUGGUCUUUGAAAUAAAAUUAUUUUCAAAAUG